rnacentral:rRNA from 1 species
GCGUUAACAUGCAGUCGGCACGAGAAAGUGGAGCAAUCCAUGAGUAAAGUGGCGUACGGGUGAGUAACACGUGGAUCAUCUACCUCUUAGUGGGGAAUAACCCUGGGAAACCGGGGCUAAUACCGCAUAAGCCUGUGAAGGGAAAGCAGAAAUGCGCUGAGAGAGGAGUCCGCGGCCGAUUAGCUAGUUGGUAGGGUAAAGGCCUACCAAGGCAAUGAUCGGUAGCCGGCCUGAGAGGGCACACGGCCACACUGGCACUGAAACACGGGCCAGACUCCUACGGGAGGCAGCAGUGGGGAAUCUUGCACAAUGGAGGAAACUCUGAUGCAGCGACGCCGCGUGAGCGAUGAAGCCCUUCGGGGUGUAAAGCUCUUUCGACGGGAACGAUAAUGACGGUACCCGGAGAAGAAGCUGCGGCUAACUACGUGCCAGCAGCCGCGGUAAUACGUAGGCAGCAAGCGUUGUUCGGAAUUACUGGGCGUAAAGAGUGUGUAGGCGGUUCUCUAUGUUCGGUGUGAAAUCUCCCGGCUUAACUGGGAGGGUGCGCCGAAAACUGGAGGGCUUGAGUAUGGGAGAGGAAAGCGGAAUUCCUGGUGUAGCGG